CCCUUAGAGUUUGAUCCUGGCUCAGAUUGAACGCUGGCGGAAUGCUUUACACAUGCAAGUCGAGCGGCAGCGCGGGGGCAACCCUGGCGGCGAGCGGCGAACGGGUGAGUAAUGCAUCGGAACAUGUCCAUGUCGUGGGGGAUAGCCCGGCGAAAGCCGGAUUAAUACCGCAUACGCCCGAGAGGGGAAAGCCGGGGACCGCAAGGCCUGGCGCGAUUGGGUUGGCCGAUGUCCGAUUAGCUAGUUGGCGGGGUAAUGGCCCACCAAGGCGAUGAUCGGUAGCUGGUCUGAGAGGAUGAUCAGCCACACUGGGACUGAGACACGGCCCAGACUCCUACGGGAGGCAGCAGUGGGGAAUUUUGGACAAUGGGGGAAACCCUGAUCCAGCCAUUCCGCGUGAGUGAAGAAGGCCUUCGGGUUGUAAAGCUCUUUUGUCCGGAACGAAACGGUGGACGUGAACAUCGUCCAUUACUGACGGUACCGGAAGAAUAAGCACCGGCUAACUACGUGCCAGCAGCCGCGGUAAUACGUAGGGUGCGAGCGUUAAUCGGAAUUACUGGGCGUAAAGGGUGCGCAGGCGGUUUUGUAAGCCAGAUGUGAAAUCCCCGGGCUCAACCUGGGAAUGGCAUUUGGGACUGCAAGGCUUGAGUGCGGCAGAGGAGACUAGAAUUCCUGGUGUAGCAGUGAAAUGCGUAGAUAUCACGAGGAAUACCGAUGGCGAAGCAGGUCUCUGGGCUGACACUGACGCUCAUGCACGAAAGCGUGGGGAGCAAACAGAUUAGAUACCCUGGUAGUCACGCCCUAACGAUGUCGAC
rnacentral:rRNA from 1 species